rnacentral:lncRNA from 1 species
GAAGGGAAAAGUUCAUAAGCCGACACUGUGGCAGCAAUGCCUCCGGCAAUGCACACUAGUACUUCAAGUAGAGGCAAUUCUACAGGGACAACAAUGCAUGAACAUAAACACUGGCAUCAAAUAAGUGCAUGCAUUCUUCAAGUCAAUCAACAUAUAUGUAGGCAUAUACCAUCUUCAACAAGUACCAGUGCCCCAUAUGUCACAGAAAAAUAUGGAGAUAAAAAAUUCUAACAUUCAAGGGAAGUAAAUGACGUACUUUUUCUGAGUUUCUACACUACCAAGAUCACUGUCGAGAACCGCAAUUUGAAAAGGUUGAUAAUCCAUGAUCUAUUGAACUUCAAAUGAGACCCAAAUUCAAUUGAGUCAAAUAACAGAACUUAUAGCACCAACAAGUUUCACUCCUACAUCAACAGUAUCCAACAAAAUAGAGUAAAUAACAGAAACCUACAAACAUAGAUAAUCAUGUGUCUGUCUGACAGAAAGCCUAAGAGGCAUAUUACAUCAAACAAAGAAACAUGAAACAUCCUACCUUAACAAGCCAAUCAGCGAAGACAGAACAAAAAUUACUGGCAUACUCAUUCUUUUCCAAAUUUUGAGAAACAUUUGUAAAAUGACGACUUUUAAGGAUAAUUUUGAUUUUGCCAAACUUAACCCUGGCUUGAAAUGUAGCAGUGGUGACAUUAUAUCAUUCAAUCAACUAUGUAUAAAAGUAAUGGCAUGUUAGGAAUUUCAAAAACUAAAACUAAAACUCUAAAAACUUGGAAUGGACGAAAAAGGUAAAUGUAUAUCUAAUUUGGUAGGGAGAGAGUAUGACAUAGUGCAAAGUGCCAACAGAACACACAAACUGAAACUACCCAUCAAGAAACCAAAGAAACAGUUACAAAAUAAAUAAACAUUCAAUCCCACAAUUGGGAAAUUCACAAAUUGCAGUAAAGCUAGUCAAUCAAUACCCAAUUCAUAUUCUCUAAAUUACAAGAAAUCACACCAAAAGAAUUAAGGUUAUUGAACUGAAACACUAUUUCAAAGCAACAAAUAACAGGAAUAUAACAAGAAUACAGGGUAAAAAAAUGAAAUUGGAUAAAAUUAUAUGAAAAUAUAAGAAACAAAGAUAUGGGGUUUAAGGGGAGAGAUUUAUACUGAUGAGAGCAGGAUUGUAAUGGUCGCUCUUUGUCUUAGCAUUAGCGAAGGCUUCAAGGGAGAGCCCUUUUCCUCCCAUUCUCAUCUUGUUCUUCUUCAUCGUCUUCUGAUUGAUUGAUUCAGGGCCAUUCAUUUUCUUCCAGUUUUCAUUAGGGCCAUUUUCAGACCAAUUCUUCAUUGUCGCGAUUUCUCCGUUAUUAUAACCACCGCGCCGACCACCAUGAGGACCCCCACGAAAAGAUCCACGAGGCCCACCAUAACCACCGCGACGACCACCAUGAUUUGGGUUAAAGAGGACCGAACUUGCUUAGAAAGACCCAAUUGCGUAAGGACCGAACUUGUACUGGCAAACGGACCGAAAGAGAGCAGAGAAAGGAACUUAAAAGGGGAUGAAUAACUAGGGUUUUGGUUUUGUGAGCGAAAGAGAGCAGAGAGAGAGAGUAGAUCUACACGAAGGAAACCGAAGUUCUGCACUGACGAGCCUUGGACAGAAAAAGACAGUAUGUUUUAAUUUUAAGUGUUC